rnacentral:lncRNA from 10 species
ACGGGAGCUGUUGGGGGCUCCUUCCCUCGCAGCAGUGACCACUCCAAGGACCACGGCCUGGACAUGAGCGGCAGCGGUGAGCUGGGAGCUGCUGGCCUGGAGUCUAGAUGAAUAUAGGCAGCAGCCAAAGGCCACAGUCACGACAAACCUACACACUCUCACCACUGUCAUCUCAUAUUGUCCUAAAAUUUCCAGCCAGUGCAAAAAAACAUGAAAAAGAAAAAAUACAGCCAUUGGAAAAGAGGAAAAGUAAUUGUUAUUAGCUGAUGAUGUGAAUGUCUUCCUGAAAACCUUAAGAGAACCAACUGGAAAACAACCAGAAAUGAGAGCAUGGAGUUAGGCAACCGCCGAUCUGCUUUCUGUCACUUGGGCGAGUUUUUCCCGUCCUGGGAUUUCAUAUCUCUGGAAUCCUGCAGUACGUAGCCCUCUGUCUGGCUUCCUCGCUCCGUGUAAUGUUCUUGAGAUUCAUCCAUGCAGCUGUGUAUACCUGCAGUGAUUGUUUCUCUUGUUGAAUUGCUGAGAAGGGUUCCAUCGUAUGCCUUUUCCAGUUUAUUUGUUCAUCUGUUGUUAGACAUUUGAGUUAUUUCCAGCUUGGGACUCUUAUGAACAAAACUGCUAUAAACAUGCAUAUUCA